ACAUUGGCCAUAUUGAUGACAGUGGUAUCUAUACUAGACAUUUAUCCACUUUUGCCCUUAGUGGUUUCGUUCGUUGCCCAGGGAAACAGAGAACAAAGUAGUGGACUGUUGCUGAGACAUAUGGUUUCUGAUGAAGCUCUGGUGAUGCUAUACCUGAGAAACCAGCAGAAGAAAACAAGUGUCGAUGCCAUGGUUUGUGUGAGAUGGUUAAGUCAAUGAAGCAGUCGGAGGCUGAAAUUGCACAGCUGAAUCAUGUGGUUCGCCAACUAGAGGAGGACACCCAGUGCACCAAAAUGAUGUUGAAGUUAGGGAGGACAAGAUUCAUAAAAUGGAGUCACUGGUUGUUGGUGGUUUGAUACCUUAUGAUACCUACUUAGUCAUACUUACUUUUUGAGCUUGUAGGUUUCAGGACU